GAACAAUGCCCAUGCUGACUCCCCGGGUGUGAGUGACUGGCCAACAGCCGCCUUGGGUGGAAGGGGAAGAAAGAUGUCUCCAAUUGUCACAGCGAGUAAAGAGCUCCGACCCUUUGAACUGCAAGGAUUGCUGCGUUCAAGCAUCGCACGCACUCUGCCCUGACCCUGCCCUCUGUAUAACGGCGACCAUGCUUAUUGAUUUUAGUCACACCUACCCAUGAGAGAAGAGAAGAAUGAGCGGAGACACAAUAACAGUGUCCAAAUACGUAAAAGGUUGCUAAAAAGAGGACAACGAUCAGUUGUUCUCCAUCCACCAAUGCAUGGAGAGAUUCCCUCUUUCAAGUACUUGCACAGACUCCAGAGCCAGUCUGCUCUGCCUGCCUUGCUGCUGCUGCUGAAAGAUGUGGCUGAAACUGAUGUGCUUGAAAGUCAUCGUAAAGGACACGGAACAAACACAUCUUCCUAGCUGCCAAGCCAUGAAGCUUCUGCAUUGAUCAUGCAGCUCUCUAGUGCUGGACAUUUGGUUGGGAUAGGCCUCACCUACUUAAGCAAAGCUAUAUGAAGUAAUCAGGGAGUUCUGUAUGCUUCAUACACUGCAAGUGUCCCUGUGACAAAUAAAAUAUUUACUCUUUAAAUA